CUGUGGCUCAGAUGAGAGAGCGUCAGACUGAAGAUCUGAACGUCGCGUGUUCGAUCCACGUUAG
rnacentral:tRNA from 1 species